AAGGAUCAUUAUUGAAAUAAACCUGAUGGGUUGUUGCUGGUUCUCUAGGGAGCAUGUGCACGCCUUGUCAUCUUUAUAUCUCCACCUGUGCACCUUUUGUAGACCUUCCAGGUCUAUGUUGCUCCAUUUACCCCAAUGUAUGUUAAUAGAAUGUUGUGUUUAUAAAAUCUAUACAACUUUCAGCAACGGAUCUCUUGGCUCUCGCAUCGAUGAAGAACGCAGCGAAAUGCGAUAAGUAAUGUGAAUUGCAGAAUUCAGUGAAUCAUCGAAUCUUUGAACGCACCUUGCGCUCCUUGGUAUUCCGAGGAGCAUGCCUGUUUGAGUGUCAUUAAUAUAUAUAUCAACCUUCUCUUGUUGGAGUGGUUUGGAUGUGGGGGUUUGCUGGCCUCUUAAAAGGUUCAGCUCCCUUGAAAUGCAUUAGCAGAACGGACCUGUUCAUUGGUGUGAUAACUAUCUACGCUAUUGAAUGUGAGGGGAUGUUCAGCUUUCUAACUGUCCUUGGACAAUUUAUCAUUUUAUGUGACCUCAAAUCAGGUAGGACUACCCGCUGAACUUAAGCAUAUCAAUAAGCGGAGGAAAAGAAACUAACAAGGAUUCCCCUAGUAACUGCGAGUGAAGCGGGAAAAGCUCAAAUUUAAAA
rnacentral:rRNA from 1 species